AGCUCGUAGUUGAACCUU
rnacentral:siRNA from 1 species